rnacentral:rRNA from 1 species
GGGUUUUUUUCGUUGGCCACUAUCCCCUAGUUGCCAGCGGAUAAUGCCGGGAACUCUAGAGAGACUGGCCUCGGAAAUCGAGGAGGAAGGUGGGGAUGACGUCAAGUCCUCAUGGCCUUUAUGUCCAGGGCUACACACGUGCUACAAUGGGCGGUACAAAGGGUUGCGACAGCGCGAGCUCGAGCCAAUCCCAAAAAGCCGUCCUCAGUUCAGAUUGCAGUCUGCAACUCGACUGCAUGAAGGUGGAAUCGCUAGUAAUCCCGGAUCAGCACGCCGGGGUGAAUACGUUCCCGGGCCUUGUACACACCGCCCGUCACAUCACGAAAGUCGGUUGUACCGGAAGCCGGUGGGCUAACCCCGCAAGGGGAGGCAACUGUCCAUGGUAUGGUCGGCGAUUGGGGUGAAGUCGUAAGCAAGGUAACC